rnacentral:rRNA from 1 species
CACGUAGGCGGGUUGUUAAGUCAGGGGUGAAAUCCCGGAGCUCAACUCCGGAACUGCCUUUGAUACUGGCAAUCUAGAGACUGGAAGAGGUUAGUGGAAUUCCCAGUGUAGAGGUGAAAUUCGUAGAUAUUGGGAAGAACACCAGUGGCGAAGGCGGCUAACUGGUCCAGUACUGACGCUGAGGUGCGAAAGCGGUGGGGAAGCAAACA